AUGUAUUGCACGGUCGAGGUCUCUACCAAGGAUACCCUCCCUAGGGUGUUCCGCAACUUCGUGGACUGCGUCUGCUCGCCCAACGCCAGUGGAGAUCCGCUGCUGCAACACCUCAAGGAAGCAUCCUGCAACACGGCGCAACGGCCGCAGGAUUGUCCUUCAGGAACUCGGCACCUGGACCUAGGCAGGGCAACGUCGUCUGUGCUAUCCUUGUCAUCCUGGUCCAUGCUUCCUUUUUUCGAAGUCUGCGUGGUCGGGGUCUAUGGCAAGGGCGCCCUCCCUGGGGUAUUCCGCAACUUCAAGGACUGCAUCUGCUCGCCCGACGCCAGUGGAGAUCCGCUGCUGCAACGCGUCAAGGAAGCGUCCUGCACGGCGUAG
rnacentral:rRNA from 1 species